rnacentral:rRNA from 1 species
UACGGAGGGUGCAAGCGUUAUCCGGAUUCACUGGGUUUAAAGGGUGCGUAGGUGGAUUGGUAAGUCAGUGGUGAAAUCUCCGAGCUUAACUCGGAAAGGUCAACUGAUACUGUGCGGCUAGAGUGCGGAAGGGGCAACUGGAAUUCUUGGUGUAGCGGUGAAAUGCGUAGAUAUCAAGAGGAACACCUGCGGCGAAGGCGGGUUGCUGGGCCGACACUGACGCUGAGGCGCGAAAGCCAGGGGAGCGAACGGG